rnacentral:lncRNA from 1 species
UCAAUCACUUCUACAUAUUUUCCUUCGGCCGACACCUACCUUCUCAAAACUGGUAUUUAUAGCACCGAAAUGGUGGCGAGUGGCUCCGAAGCUGUCCGCAAGUUGCCCCGAGGCAUGCCACGCAUGGACACCUCGCUUAUAGCUGCAUUGGCAUCACCCGUCCAUGGUUUUGAGCUAUUUUCCAUACAAUCGAUCCUUGGUAGAGAUGUCGGAAUCACUUGCUGCCCAAUCUUCCUUCGAGCGGUACUGAGGCCUGUCGGCUUACUUGAUCUCUGUUGACUUCGGACCAACUUUGAUGCGAGACU